rnacentral:rRNA from 1 species
GGACUACCCGGGUAUCUAAUCCUGUUUGCUCCCCACGCUUUCGUGUCUCAGCGUCAGUUGCGGUCCAGUAAGCCGCCUUCGCCACUGGUGUUCCUCCCAAUAUCUACGCAUUUUACCGCUACACUGGGAAUUCCGCUUACCUCUCCCGCACUCAAGGCUCAGAGUUUCUAACGCAUCCAAGGGUUGAGCCCUUAGCUUUAACGUCAGACUUCUCAGCCCGCCUACACACCCUUUACACCCAGUAAUUCCGGACAACGCUCGCCACCUACGUAUUACCGCGGCGGCUGGCAC